rnacentral:rRNA from 1 species
UACAUAGGGGGCAAGCGUUGUCCGGAUUUAUUGGGCGUAAAGCGUGCGUAGGCGGCUGCGCAAGUCGGUUGUGAAACCCCGGGGCUCAACCCCGGAACUGCAUCCGAUACUGCGUGGCUAGAGGUAGGUAGGGGAGAUCGGAAUUCCUGGUGUAGCGGUGAAAUGCGCAGAUAUCAGGAGGAACACCGGUGGCGAAGGCGGAUCUCUGGGCCUUACCUGACGCUCAGGCACGAAAGCUAGGGGAGCGAACAGG